UGUGCUUUGUCCACUGUACUGUAAAUGCUGCUAAUAUACCUCUGUCGCUAGCAGACGCAUGUCUUUGCAUUUGAUUGGUUGAACGGCAUUUCGUUUGCUGAUGGAGAACACCUUUGUUUUAAUUUGUAUUUUGUCAUCGGUUAUGUUAUUUGUUUUGUCUGUUACACUGAACUCUAUUGGGGUCUGUUAUUUGAUUUGAUUUUGUUAGGUAAAGAUGGAAGGCACUGUGACUAUAAAUAAUGGAAGGCUGAUCCUGUGUCACAGAGCCACAUAGAUGAGCAGCUACCCAUCGUAGGAUGCACACUCAACCUCCUGCUAGUUUCUGAGCCAAGUCAGCUUGACAGAGGGGUCUGCUAAUGCACAGCCACCUAGCCACUGCUAACAGAUGCUGGCUGGGACAGACGCUCAUCAAAGGUGUGCCACACGACAUGGGCAUUCUCGUUCUGCAUCAAGCCUCAAGGUGCCUCAGCCAAACGGCAGUGAGAAAUAAGGGUUGGAAUAAAAGAAGAGGACUGAGGAGAAAAUCCAUUUACCACAAUUUUAUCACUGUGGACCAUCGCGAAUGCGUAGUGUAAUAUACCUAUUAACUUAGUAGCCCAGCACGCUCAAGAGAUCUUGGAAACUGGACCACCCCAGAUCAGUAGAUGCAGACAUGCACGUGCAGACGAAACACCAGCGCCAUGCAUGGGGUCCAAUCUCACCAUGGAAAUGCCAAAGCACACAGCUCAAGCCAUGCUGCCAUCCACAUGACGUGCGGCCAGGCUCGUUGCUGUCGGCGGUUCUGAAGACAGCGGUUCGAUCCAGCUGAAGGACGUCACCUGGCAGGAAGUUGUAGAGUGUGGUGGCCAGUAUCAAGCCACAUUGUCCAGAAACCAUCACAUUAUCUCCAGGUCACUAGUCGCCGGUGCUCGAGCUGACGGCGUCGUUCAAGGGCUCCACGGUGACAAGCGCCGUCACCGCUGCCGCCGCCGCCGAGACCAUCCGACUCCUGGGCCCUGUUUCACGGCAGCGUACUGCAGCGCGCUACGCAGCGCUGCUGUGUUAGUGCGGCGAUUGAGACGAAUUCGGCUCGACGCUCCAGCGUUGCGAAACACCCGUGUCUAUGAAGGAUACGCCGAUACGUCUUCCAGCUUCAAGCCCUUCCCGCCCCCCCCCCCCCCCGCCCCGUCCCAACGGUGUUGGCCGAGAUUGGGGUUGGUAUUUUAACGGGCUCUCCGAUGACGUCCCGCAAUUUGUGUUAUGUAAUUUGACGAUUAUGUCGUAGUCUCAUUCUGUCUCGAUAUGCUAAUAAAUGAUAAAUGGGACGGAGGUUGGAAGUAAGGUGUGAGUGGCUGUAACCGGCAGGUUUUGGCGAGCGCGAUAUUAGUUAUUGUGAGCGCGCCAGCUGCAUUAAAUCGCGCGCUUCUGGCGAGAAAAUACUUGCUCUGGAACCUAGAAGUUUGUCGUGAAAUCUAUGUGCCUUUGGAUUGAAUUAUUAGAACAUAAUGUACUUUCGGUGUCCGGCACUGCAGCUCUGGAAAUAGAAAUAUGGAUGUUGGCUGUUUGAUGUAGCAAGGGCUAACAAUCUGCGUCAAGAAUCAAAAGCUGUAUGCAAAUUAAAGUGAAUAUAUUUCAAUGAAUUUUUAAAUUUUGUGAUACAAAACAUAAAUGUGUCAACUACUGAUUACACCCGGCUGCAAACACUGUAACGCUUGCAAUUCUGUACGGCA
rnacentral:lncRNA from 1 species